UACAGAGGGGGCAAGCGUUGUUCGGAAUUACUGGGCGUAAAGGGCGCGUAGGCGGCCCGCUAAGUCGAACGUGAAAUCCCCGAGCUCAACUCGGGAACUGCGUCGGAUACUGGAUGGCUUGAAUUCGGGAGAGGGAUGCAGAAUUCCAGGUGUAGCGGUGAAAUGCGUAGAUAUCUGGAGGAAUACCGGUGGCGAAGGCGGCAUCCUGGACCGACAUUGACGCUGAGGAGCGAAAGCUAGGGGAGCAAACGGG
rnacentral:rRNA from 1 species